GGGUCAGUAGGUUGGUCGUGCCACCGGUACGUACUGGUCUCACUGAUUCCUCCUUCCUGAAGAACCGUAAUGCCAUUAAUUUGGUGUUGCGGGGAAACAGGACUGUUACUUUGAAAAAAUUAGAGUGUUUAAAGCAAGCUAACGCUUGAGUACAUUAGCAUGGAAGAAUGAAAUAGGACGAUCGAUCCUAUUUUGUUGGUUUCUAGGAUUGACGUA
rnacentral:rRNA from 1 species